UGCCCAGCAACUCCUAUCCCUGCCUCCUCGCGGUACUGGCCGGGGUACGAGUAACCUUGGGGAAGAUCGGGUAACCAACCCCCGGUGGGAACUUUGGUCGUAUGCUGACAGGGAAGG
rnacentral:ribozyme from 1 species